rnacentral:rRNA from 1 species
UACAGAGGGUGCAAGCGUUAAUCGGAAUUACUGGGCGUAAAGCGUGCGCAGGCGGUUCUAUAAGACAGAUGUGAAAUCCCCGGGCUCAACCUGGGAACUGCAUUUGUGACUGUAGAGCUGGAGUGCGGCAGAGGGGGGUGGAAUUCCGCGUGUAGCAGUGAAAUGCGUAGAGAUGCGGAGGAACACCGAUGGCGAAGGCAGCCCCCUGGGCUAACACUGACGCUCAGGCACGAAAGCGUGGGGAGCAAACAGG